CACAACUUACCUGUUCAAGACCACCAGUGUGUCCCACCUGGUUGAGGUGGUUCCUCAGAAGCUGUCCUGGGUCAUUUGAUGUGUCCCGAGCAAACAGAAGCACAGAGAAAAAUGGAAAAUAUCCCAGUUCCUUCAAUGGCUCCCAGAAUGUGAUGAAGCAUCCUGGCCACAUUUCCAUCUGCUGAGGAUAUUUUAUCAGGCACCGAGCUCGAGAUGGCCUCUGACCAGCCCAGUUCAAGGAAACACCAGUUAUUUUUGGUCACUUAACUAUGUGAAAUCAUCCCAGGCACACGAAACUGAAUAAACGCACAUGCUGACAUCAUACUGCAGACGAUACUAGAAGGUAGCAUGGACAGAAAGGGAAAGUUUUCUCACAAAAAUUGUUUGAAACAUUUUGGACUCAAACCUGCAGCAGCAGCGUACCAGCGUGAGCUCUGGGUCCUGCAGCCAGGGCGGCAGCCCCAUAGCCUGGCUCAUGGCCUGGAACAGUGUGGCCCUCAGUGCACAGUAAUUAUCACCACGGACUCGCCGUAUGGAGGUGAACUUCUGAGAAACCUCCUCAUAGCCCUGGGAAAAGGCUUCUUUUCUUUUUUUGAGAUGCGGUUUCGCUCUUGUUGCCCAGGCUGGAGUGCAGUGGCGCAAUCUCGGCUCACUGCAACCUCGGCCUCCCGGGUUCAAGCAAUUCUCCUGCCUCAGCCUCCUGAGUAACUGGGAUUACAGUCACUCAAGACCCACUUCCUACCAUGCACUCACACAAAGAAAGAAGUGUUACCCUCAUCGUGGAGUGGACACAAUGCAGACCACCUCUGUCCCGUGUGUCCAGGUGCUAGAACCUCAUUACUAGCUGUUUUCAAGGUUCAAGUCAUAGGAUGAUGUUUUAAGUGAAUAUAAAAGUACUUUUUUUCCCCAAUAACAACAUUUUGAGGGUUGCAUUUUUAUUUAG